UACGUAGGGCGCAAGCGUUGUCCGGAAUUAUUGGGCGUAAAGAGCUCGUAGGCGGCCUGUCGCGUCGGAUGUGAAAGCCCGGGGGCUUAACCCCGGGUCUGCAUUCGAUACGGGCAGGCUAGAGUGUGGUAGGGGAGAUCGGAAUUCCUGGUGUAGCGGUGAAAUGCGCAGAUAUCAGGAGGAACACCGGUGGCGAAGGCGGAUCUCUGGGCCAUUACUGACGCUGAGGAGCGAAAGCGUGGGGAGCGAACAGG
rnacentral:rRNA from 1 species